GAAUGAAUGCACUCUUCUCAACUGAGACAAUAUCAUCCAACACUGGCCGCAAAUGGUUCACAAGACACUUGGAAAUAACCUUAUACAUUGCGUUACAUAAGCUUAUAGGUAUGUAAUGUCAGAUAGUAGUCGGGUUGGGAAUUUCCGGAGUAAGAACGGUAGAGGUAGAAUUCACACCCUCGGGCAUAAGACCCAUAUCAAAGAAUACCCACACCGCAUCAAUC
rnacentral:lncRNA from 1 species